GUACAGGUGCUGCAUGGCUGUCGUCAGCUCGUGUCGUGAGAUGUUCGGUUAAGUCCGCUAACGAGCGCAACCCUCGCUGUGUGUUACAAGUGUCACACGGAACUGCCGGUCAUAAACCGGAGGAAGGUGGGGAUGACGUCAAGUCAGCAUGGCCUUUAUAUCCUGGGCUACACACACGCUACAAUGGGAAGGGACAAUAGGUUGCGAAGCCGCGAGGCGGAGCCAAUCCAGACAAAACUUCCCUCAGUUCAGAUUGCAGGCUGCAACUCCGCCUGCAUGAAGUUGGAGUUGCUAAGUAAACGCAGGUCAGCCAUACUGCGUUGAAUACCGUCCGGGCUU
rnacentral:rRNA from 1 species